AACACAAGAUGACAAAAGAGGUGAGAAAGAGGCCGAGAAGCGGCGGCGCGGACUUCCCCGAGGCACUUCGAAAAGUUACGCAACGACCGACUUUCGCUAGCGCCUCAGGAAGGCUAAAGACGACGCCUGAAAAGACUUUAACCUCCGCGCUGUUUGUUUAUUGUGUACACGUUGUGAUUGGCUUGCCAGCAAGGAGCCCAUUUGAGGGGAGAGGGCGAGGCGCGCAACGAGGCAGCUGAAGGGCUGAGGACGGCAUUAGCAUGUAAAUGGCUUCCUUCUUCUUCCCCCCCUUUCUGGGAAAAGUUUGCAGCACUCACCUCCUCUGCCCUCUUCCACGGUCAGCCUCGACGAGCCAAUUAUUUUCCUGUUGAUCGUUACAGUAGGUGCUGGGCUUAAUUAUGGAUGCAGGCGGCAGCAGCUGCAGUGCAAACAUGCUGAUGCGCACGCACAGGGUUGCUGGCCGCAGGAGCUGCGCUGGAUCCCGUUAAGUGGGUUGAGAGAUGGUGCUGGUUUGGCCUGAACUGGGCAUGAAAAGGUGCCAGAGGGCCCACGCUGUGUGUGAGGCUGGCCUCGGUCCACCCGCCCGUCUCCUCAGUGGCCCAGACAGAGCGGGUUAGCUUAAACUUUAAAGUGUAGCUUUAUCGACUAUUAUUCUGAUAAUUAUCAUCUCGCUGUUUGUGUUUACAGUUUGACACAAUUAUUAGUUUAGAGCUAAAUCUUAGUGUAAUUUAACCGAAGUGCUAGCACAGCUUAGCAAAGCCACAUGCUCACAUUUGACGACGUAGCUUUUCACUGGCUUUGCUCCUAAGUAGCCAGUUAGCAUUUCGGUGAAUAUUAAAGGUUGUUAUGGAGAUUUGGCCAACCCAACGUGACACACUUUGUUUCACUUCUCCAAAUGUUUGUUUUACCUCUCCAUCCAUCCUGUUCAUGUGGUGCCAAGACAAACACGGCUCCUCGUUCAGCACUGUGACCAGAACUGGACCUCAGAGCCAAAUGUACAAUCCACAGAAACAGCAAGACGCUGAUCAUUAAAGCUGGGGUCCCUUCAAUUAACCUCCUCCAGGCUGAAGUGGAGGAGGAAACCGGCUGCGUCACAGGAUGGGCUGUCUUUGAAAUGAAACCAAACGGGAAGACGAGAAGAAACGGCACGAGUGUCUGACCGGGUGUCCAUGUUCUGAUCACGUCACUGCAGCUUCUGAACGGUACGCAGACCGUCAACGACAACCUCUAAUCCAGUUUCCACCCAGAGCUCAGCGAGCAGCGUGGCACCUGCCAAUCAGAGCGCGGCUCCGCCCCCUCCCCUCUUCCUCCUCUUCUUCCUCCGCUGCAGUGCAUCAAUCUGCCGGCUGAAAUGAAAACACUGCUCCUCCACAACCUCCGUCUGUCAGCGCCUGUCAGGCAAGGGGACUAAUGGAAUGACGUCAUUGUAAACACACACACACACACAGAAGGAGACGGAUGCCUUUCCGGUGAUUCACAGCUUGGAGCGUUACCAUCUCUUUCUGCGGGGCCCCAUCUACAAGAAUCCCCGUCGGCUUAACCCGCUGACCUUCACCAAAAACCGCCGCCCUCCUCCCUGUCCCUCCUCUCUUAAUUCAUUUCUUCUUUCUUCACGUUGCUUUGGAACAAAGCCACACACACACACACACACACACAGCCUGGGAGAGUACCAGGCUCUGCCUCGAAUUCCUUCCCUCCUGCUCCAGAAAAACGUGAAUGGCCCGCCGGCCGCCAGCUGAAUGAAUCGAAGCGAGGCUCUGGAGUCCGUGUUUCUGUCGGGGCUCUCGUUUAUUUUCUGUCAUUUGUAAAGCAGGCAGGGAGCAGAUCGCUUCUGCAUAAAUUUGCAUCGCGUUGAUUUAAAAAUCAGGUUAAAAGAAAACAAACUCAAAGACAAAUCUCUUCAUAUGUUGUUAAUAAUUAUAAACAGAUUAAAUAAGAAAAAAAAAUUAAGGGGAAGGAAAUCACAAUGCUGUUUUACAAUAGAAUCCAAAUGAGCAAUUUUCCAAUUAAUUGCAGUAGACGGAUUUAAUUAUAAACGCUGACACAGCACAGCAUGCUGUGGCUAAAAAUAGCACAAGCAAACACCAGCGACUUGGAAGAGAAACACAUUUGACACUGAUGCAGGAUAUAAACAGUGAACAUAAGUCUCAGAAAGAAUAGUUUUUAAGAAAGUGCAAAGUAGGAAAAAAAAAUCCGCAUAAGUGCUUUAAGGCACAACAAACAGAGACACUUGCUUUGGUGUGCAAGUUCUCAGAUGCUUUCUUGAGCUUUGGCUAAUUUUCAGAACGGCUAAUGAAUUUAGGAGUCCGGGUGUGAAGAGCUGCUGGAGACUCUCUCUCCAGAAGAAGAGUAGCUGGAGUUUUGAUAACUGUGUGACGGAGUUUAAGGAGUAGGAAUAAUUUGCUGGUGCUUUUAGUUUUAAUAAUCACACAUAAAAUGAACAAAAAGAGAUGGGAUCAUUCUAAAUUUUUAAAAAACUUUUACGUAUCUUGAUCCCCCUGUCAAGUCGGUAAAGAUGUUCAUUCCUUCACUCCGGUUUGUUCCUUCGCUUGUUGAUCUGCAUGGUUUGUUGCUGAACUAACAGCUUGUGUGUGAUUUCUCCUGCAUGUUUUCCUUCCACCACAUAACGGGCCACGUUCUCUGACUUCACUGAAUACGUCGCACGCAGUCAGAUUUAAUUACAUGAAGUCAUCGGAGAAGUACAAUAGGUCGAUGCAAGUUUAGUGCAACGAAUAGACGAAUCAAAGGCAGCUUGUGAGCCUAGUUUCCAUCCCGUCAUUUGCAUUGAUGUCAAUCAGAUGUCCACGCUCUCGUACCAGAUGACAUGCAGCAGUUAGAAAAGAGUUUAAAUAUGCUUUGGUUGGAAACAACCUGAAACUCGUACUUAACAGGUUAUUUAUUUUCCAAAUAGCUCCUAUCAGUUUUCUCAUUAAGGGUAUUAGAAGGGAAAUUAUGCAGCCACACAGUGUUUUGUCCUUUAUCCAUUUAAUUUGCCUCCGUAUGAAUUGAUAGCAGCAUUUUAUUGAGUUAAAAACAUAAAAAAAUGGGACUUGUGUGUCUUAAGGAUCUGUGAAGUCGUUGCAUGAGAUGACAUUUGAAUAAUUGCAGCUGUGGAAAAAUGACACAUACUCUUUUUUUUUGUCUUUAUGAUGCAUAACCACACAUCGUAAUUUCUACAAUUUUAAAAUAUUUUUAUGUUAUGUCAUGUUAAGCCAUAAAAUUUAAUGCAACUUCGACGAGAUGGACCGAUGAAAAGUAGCAUAAAUGUGAGGGGAACUUUCAAAAUAAAAUCCAAGGUAACUUAGGAAGGCAGUAUUUUACUGUCAUCAAAUGUGUGUGAUUUAAUCUGUGUGAAGGCCUCAGAUGUUUUAGAGAACAUUUGCACAAGAAAAACAGCAUCACAAAAAUCAAGGAACCAGGCGGAAAAGUCGGGUACAUCAGGGAGUUCAGGACGUGGAGAGUAAAGUGAAAUAUUUAUGCCAUAUUCCAAGGAGUGAUCUCUGCGAUGAUGCAAGCUAAUGUUUUGGCAGUGGUACUUAAAUUUAACAUGUUAACGUGAUGCUAAAGUGUCCCUGUUUAUAUGCCAUAGCUUACUGGUGUAACUACAGUGAAGCUGUAAUGAAGAAUAAGGAAGAAGCUGCAAGUAACCAAUCAGGACGCAGCGCUCAGGCUGCUGAGACGGACAUCUGCAAGUCAAAUGUUAGUCAUGAGCGACGUCCCUUCUUUUCGCGCCUCGUUCUUGUAUAAAUUUAUGCACCGUUUCGAUGCGUCAAACGACUUCAAAGUUAGAGUCCUGUCAACUGGAACGACACAACAUGUACCUCGAGGUUUUAUAAGCACUGGAAUAAGUAUUUAUGUGCUUUAUGGUUUUUGUUUUAGUUCUGGUUUUUAAGUGCUAUGGACUACUUUGUGUCUGUAAAUUAAGGUUGUAAUUUAAUUUAAGGAAACAGACGCCAUCUUCAGUUUGCCACCAGAGAAGAAGGUCCUCUCAUGAGAUGAGAGGAAAACUGACCAUUUUGCAAAA